rnacentral:snRNA from 1 species
GGGUGAUCUGGCUGUGAUGCCACCCCAUUGAUCACUGGAGUUGAUUGGUCUGAUGUGUCUGACUGGUGUCUUCUUCCUCCUGAAUUUGUGUGCUCAGUUGAAAAGGAUAGCCUUCCCUGAUAACACAGGACUAUGCUUUGGUCAAGAUUGUGUGAGUAGCUGCACUCCCCUGCUAGAACCUUCAAACAGGCUCUCAAACAACAUAACGCCAACACACAUCUUAUCAUUACAGUCCAUGAAUACUCUUAGCAGAGAGCUUGGUGAGACGCUUG